ensembl:lncRNA LINC02446 long intergenic non-protein coding RNA 2446
AGCCUCUUGAGCUGCUUGCUUGGCCCACUCUCACUCUGUGGAGUGUACAUUUGUUUCCAUAAAUCUGUGCUUUUUUUUUCAUUGUUUUGUUUGUGCAUUUCAUCCAAUUGUUUGUUCAAAAUGCCAAGAAUCUGGACACCCUCCACCAGUAACAGGCAUUGGGAAGGGGAAGGCAGAAAAGCGGAGUGCAAAAUGAAGUGGUAGUGGGUGCUAACUAACAAGAGAACCUUUGAACACGAUGGGACAGAAAUAAGGUCAUGCAUUUUCUACUAUCUGUCACCUGUGGACAACUUGCCACUUCAACAGUUCUGGACACUUUUAAGCUCCCCCGAGGAGAAGAUAGGAAACUUGGACACCCUGUGUGGGAUUGAGAAUCACAAAGGGGCAGUCUCGCACCUGGUCAAGAUAAAGCUGAACUGAACUCUUCAUUCACAAGUGGGAUUCUCGUAAGAGGCAGGAAAGCAGGGACCGUCUGUCACUACAGACAGCAAGAAGAGGUGAACCUUAAUGAGGGAAGAAAACAGAUUCUAUUAGGGGAAAAAAACAUUUAAUCAGAAAAUAAGGCUCUGGAAAGAAAAGGCCAAUUGGGGCUUUGUCUGAAGAAAUAACAGAGUAUUUUUCUGCCAGAGAAAGCAAGUCCAAGGGAGGAAUUUUCAGAUUGACCAAAGAGUAUUGGUCUACAUCAUUAGUACUUUCAGUGAGAAAUAACUGAAAAUAAACUAGAGCAAAAGUUCCCCAGGUGUGGUUCCAGGACCAGCAACUGAAACAUCACCUGGGAACUGUUAAAAAUGCAAAUUCUUGGGCUCUCCGCCAGAAUCACUGAAUCAGAAACUCUGAAAUGGGACCCAAUAAUCAGCAGCUUAACAAGCUCUCCAGGUGAUUCUUAUGCCAAAUAAAGUUUGAAAUUCCCUGGUGCUGGCGCUGGAAGCAAAUGAGUCACAGCUGUGAAGAAUCCCUACCAUUAAUACCCUGGGUGGGAUAAAUAAAAAUGGGAAACUAAAAAGUUAAAUGAUCAGAGGUUGGCUGUAGUUCAAAAGUAAGGAUAUACCUGAAUAUAAAAUUCUUUCUUAACCUAAAUGCAAAAUGGGAAUAUGUUUAAUCAUUUAUAUAGCAUCUCACUGGUUUUUUCCAGCUUGAGACAUGAUUCACAAAAAUUGUAUAUAUUUAAAAUGUACAUGAUGUUUUGAUAUACAUAUACAUUGUGAAACAAUUACCACAAUGAAGUUAACAUAACCAUGACCUCACCUAGCCACCAUUUUGUGUGUGUGGGGUUAAAAACCCUUAAGACCUGCUCUUAGCAAAUGUCAAGUAUACAGUACCUUAUUAUUAACUAUAGUCACCAUGCUGUACGUUAGGUCUCCAGAACUUACUCAUCUUCUAACUAAAAGUUUGACUAACUUCUCCCCCAGCCCCCAACCCCUGGUAACUACCACUCUACCCUUUGUUACUGUGUCUUCAACUUUUUUAGAUUCCACAUACAAGUGAGAUCACGCAAUAUUUGUGUUUUGGCGUCUGGCUUAUUUCACUUAGAAUAGUGUCCUCUAAGUUUAUCCAUGUUGUCACAAAUAGCAGGAUUUCCUUAUAUAUUUAUAGAAUAAAAACUAGACCGAAUUAUG